GUGAGGAAUAUUGGACAAUGGGCGCAAGCCUGAUCCAGCCAUGCCGCGUGCAGGAAGACGCAUCUAUGGUGUGUAAACUGCUUUUGUACGGGAAGAAACACUCCCUCGUGAGGGAGCUUGACGGUACCGUAAGAAUAAGGAUCGGCUAACUCCGUUCCAGCAGCCGCGGUAAUACGGAGGAUCCAAGCGUUAUCCGGAAUCAUAGGGUUUAAAGGGUCAGUAGGAGGUUUAAUAAGUCAGUGGUGAAAGCCCAUCGCUCAACGAUGGAACUGCCAUUGAUACUGUUAGACUUGAAUUACAAGUAAGUAACUAGAAUAUGUAGUGUAGCGGUGAAAUGCUUAGAUAUUACAUGGAAUACCAAUUGCGAAGGCAGGUUACUACUUGUGGAUUGACGCUGAUGGACGAAAGCGUGGGGAGCGAACAGGAUUAGAAACCCUAGUAGUCC
rnacentral:rRNA from 1 species